rnacentral:rRNA from 1 species
UACAGAGGUCUCAAGCGUUGUUCGGAUUCAUUGGGCGUAAAGGGUGCGUAGGCGGCGCGGUAAGUCGGGUGUGAAAUCUCGGGGCUUAACUCGGAAAGGUCAACUGAUACUGUGCGACUAGAGUGCGGAAGGGGCAACUGGAAUUCUCGGUGUAGCGGUGAAAUGCGUAGAUAUCGAGAGGAACACCUGCGGCGAAGGCGGGUUGCUGGGCCGACACUGACGCUGAUGCGCGAAAGCCAGGGGAGCGAACGGG